rnacentral:lncRNA from 1 species
GUAUUCUGAAAUAGUAAAUCCUUGAUGGGAGACAAAGCUGGAGGGAAGAAGGGAAGAAAACUACCUUGUGAAAGUAAAAAGAGGUACCCUCUCCCCUCAGCAGCCCCAGAGCACACUAUUUUUCAGUCCAUGAAUUACAAGAAAGCAUAUGUGUGUUUCAGAGAGAAGUGAGUUUUAAGCAAAAAUAAAGUCCGUGUGCAUAGGGACUUUUCAGUAUAUGUCAUUUACUAUAAAUUUAAAAAGAACAUUCAGCUUCAGUCCAGUUACAGUUACUUUAGUACUAAAUUCUAUUUCAGAAGCUUUUAAAUUGCCAGAAGAUGUGCUACAAAGCAACUUUCCUUUGUCUUGUAAACUUUCCAGUGUGCAGACAGAAAAAGCUGGUUUCUGGUUUCAUUAUAACUGUACUGAUGUAUCACAGAGAAAAACAGCAGAAACGCAUCUAAUGAAAGUAUAUACCUUUACUAGUGGUUAGGCUGUUGCUAUGUAGGAAUCCAAAAACAAAUAGUUCAAUUGCUGGGGUUACUUCCAGGCCUGGGGAAAAUCUUCAGCAUAGCAGAUUCCUCUCUAAAGCACCUCUUGGCAAGGAGGCCCUUUAGUGUAAGGUUGGCUCCUUAGAAGCACAGUGUGUUGCACCUCUGCUUUUAGAUUACAUCAAAGAAUAGAAAGCUCAAGAAAGAUAUUAAGACCUGCAUUCAUUUUUCUGUUUCUUCACAGACUUCACAGCAUGCUUUGCCUUUUCUCCAUAUUCUCUUUCCACCAGCCAUUUCUAUUUUCUUUCCUCAGCUGAUGCUCCAUUUGAAGCAGAUACUUCUCUCUUUUGCUCUGAUCUUAGGACUCUUAAACUCUUUUGUGACUUAAGCAAUUCCUAAGUUACCCUUCUCAUAGCUAUCUGUACCACACAGACUUGUCCGUGCUGGACUGAUUACCACUGCUCCAUAGUUCUGCUGACAAAGCAGCUCCUCCAACUGCUUUCAAAUCAAAUUACAGCUUGAAUAGUUUAAAGUAUUUUUUAAACUGAACUUACUGAUGUCUGAAACAGGAAAGCUAACUCAAGUGAGCUUUUCCAAAAGCAAAUUUCACCACAGAAGCUGUCAGUCACCUCACUAGUGGUAAUAUCAAAUUGCGACUUCAAUUGGAAAGUGAUCAGCAAAGGCACCUCCAUCUGUAAUCCGCCUGCAUCCUCCUUCUUUUCACUUCCUGCACAUUCUUUUCAGGCUCUUGCUUCACUACCUUUGUCCUGAGGUCAUGUGGACCCUCUUCAGUUGUUGUUUGUUUUUCUCUCCUCCCUCUCCCUAUUUUUUUUUCUUUUGAACUAAUUCAAAAUUCUAAGCAUCUUUCAAAGAGGUAAAUACAAAAAGCUUUUUAGGUACCAAGCAAAAUCCAUGCCUACUGAGUACCAAAGAGUGGUGAAAUUAAUAGCUUCAAUGAUGCUAACUUGUUAAGAGUUACAGAUUACAGAUCUUUUUAUUAAAACCUGGAUUACACCAACUAAAACUGAAUCCUUAUGUUCUUAUUUGCCUAGUCAGCUAUACAUAGAUUUCAUCAAAUCCCAAAUCACACUGUCCAUCCAUCCAGUUGGUGCCAGAAUGAAGUAUUUUUCCUGACAUCCUGCAUAAUGGCAGGUGUAAACAUCACCCAACAACUUCCGCAUAUAACCAACAACUUCACUUAAACCAGACCAUACAACACUAUCAUUAGAAAGAUCUCUGAUAUUUAAAGAUUUCAAAAGGCAGUCAUGUUGACGUCUGUCAAUUGAAGUUGAUCCUAAGACUAACCUGUCACUUAAAAAUCUGCUUUUUGUCCAGGCUGCCUUUGUCUAACACUAGCUUCCAUCAAUGGAUUAUAAUUUACAUUUUUAUAUAGCAUUAAAGAGUCAUGCAUCAAAUUUAUAUUGAAGAUAGGUGAUCAAAUAACAUUUGAAUAUUGUCUGCAACCAUUAAAUACAGACAUUAAGGUCACAUUAGGGCAUGUUUCUAGGCCUGUAAUUGUUUUUGGAAGCUUUUCUGCUAUGUUUUAAAGUAGUGAUCUCUUUACAAUCAGACACUGCAGUCCUACUGAUUAACAGUCCUCAGCCUGUGUAUCAUGUUAACGUUAGCUUCAGCCUCGCUCUGGAAGGUAACAGUCGCUCCUUUUCACUGUCACUUCAUACCAGCUUCUUGCCUCUUGUUUUGUAAGUGUGACUGAUGUCAUUGAUUGGUUAUGUGUGACCUCACAUUUAAUUGCGUUAAAACACGAAGGUAGGUGCUUAGCGUUCUUCAUUGUUCCCUCAUUUCUUCACACAAUGGUUAGAAUAGCAUCUAGUAGAAUAGCACUUUUGUGAAUAUCCCAAACACGGACAUCAUAACACUCCACAUAAAAACCCUCCUUAAUUUUACACACUAGCUACCCCAUCCUUGAUGUCUUCAAUACAUCAAGACCUUGAAAAGCAGUAUUGUCACUCCUUGUCCACCAGGCAUAAAGAGCUAAAACAAUUUACAGCUUUAUUAUAACAUUUUCCUCUCCAGCCAAGAUCAAGAGAGAUCUCAGGAUGGGAGUGUCCUGGAGCUCCUGCCACUGUGUCCUUGCUUUUAAACCCAUGGCAAUGAAAAGCCUCCCUGCAGCCACAGAGGUGGUGGUGGAGAGCCUGCAUGCCGGACCACCUUCUGCUGUCCCGUCUUGCUCCCAGAGGUCCACAAAUUGGAUUAGAGAAACUGACCCUAUGUCAUGGCCCUGGUGACCGUGACUGUCUAUAAUCCUUCUGUGAACCUAAUGAUACAACUCUCACUUUUAGAAUAUUGUAGCAAACUCAAUAUGCAUGUCUUAUAAAAACUGCACAAGAAAUGUCCGAUCUUUGCUACAUAUGGAAGGGAAAUUGUGAAGCAUAAUAAAUCUAAGGUACAAAGAUCAUUAAACUAGAGACACUACAUGAAAAAAAGAAAAAGAUUUCAAGACAAAGUAUAUUUUGGUGGAAGUCUGCACCUCUCCAUCACUUGUGAAAGUGCAAACAAUCCCUUUUCAUCUGAUUUAAAAGUCAGUACUCACUCUUAGUUAUUUUGCCACUGUGUCAUUCCAGACAGACCACUGUGAAUGAUGAAUGCAGGCAGAGAAAUGGGGCACAAUUCUAGAAAUAGUUUUAAACUCUUCUAGUCCUCUAUAUAGAAAUUUGUCUUAGUGAUGUUACUUCUAGUGUGAAGUUAACCAACACCUAGGUAUUGGAAUCAAAUUAUAACAAAGACGCCUCCUCUUGCUAAGCAUAACCACUGAUUAAUGACAGAAGAGUACCAAAUGUUUUAUUUGUCCCUCCUUCCAUUCCCUAAACUUGUUAAGCAAAAAGACUUCCAGAGCAGAUUUCAAAUGCACACGUCUCAGGAGGAGUUGUACCAGCAGAGAGAGAGCUGUGCUUUCCAACCCGUACCAAUUGGAAAUGAUGCUCUGAGCAUCUGUGCUAUGACUGGUCAUUAAAAUGUUCCAGAUUCUGAUUUAAGUCUGCAAAGCUACUUCCAUUUUCCUAAGUAUCUUUCAGAUUUGCUGCAAAGAAUGCAAGUAGACCCCAAAACAUUAUUUUUAACAAAAGGAAAGAAAUCCCCUUGUUAGGCUGUUGGUCUGCAAGGGCUUGGAAUGGUUGAGAAUCUCCAGUGAUUUCACAGAUAAUCCAUACGUUUGUAUAGUUCACUGUAUCAAGCAGAGCUGAAUUUCCAAGCCAAAUUACACCCGUCUAUUUUUUAAACAGAAUUUAGUUGCUUUUUUAAAAAUCUAUUCAAAAGGGAUAUUCUGUCACUGAAUAAUUAAAUGGGAAUACCUUCUGAGUUUAACAGAGGGUUGGAUUUCGUCUUCUAUCUAAUGUAAAAUCUGCAAUGACAGCAGGAACGAUUUCACACCAAUACAACAGUCUACAUUUUUAUGCACAAUGCUAUAGAAAUUGAGGUCACAGUCUCCAUAGAGCUAUAGAGGGAUACUUGUGUUGUUGAAUUUCACUGCAAAUGGAAAGGAUUUAUGCCAUGAUCAGAAGUGUAGCUCUUUCCAGAGGGAGAUUCUCAAGCAGUUAUCAUGGGUAAAACAGUUUUUAGCUCCGUUAGCCAUUAAUUUAAUGAGUCUUCUAUAAUUUUUUUUUUUUUUUUUUUUUAUGACCAGUACCUUAGGUGCAGCUGAUAGGUGCAUAAUCCAGCCAAGCACCUAUUUCCUUGUCUCCUGGAGACAAAUGUUCUGCUUUUCUGAUUAAGGACUCACACAGCAAAACGUGACAGUAUUCCAAAACGCAGCGUAGUAAGCUUUCUGUGCUACGUAUUACAAAAGAGAAAAACAAUCCAUAGGUUGAGGUUUCAAGUCUUCAAGUUUGUUGGUGUUUGUUGGUUGGUUGGUGAGGUGUUUCUUUUGACGGGAAACUUAGUGCCAUGAUCUCUUUCUAGAGCAUAAAACUAUCAACAUUAUAGUUAGAAUAUUUUUUAUGUGUUUUACUUUCUAAAAGCUAAUAAAUAAAUAAAUAAAUAAAUAAAGCCUUAAAACAUUAAUGCAUCAUUAGUAGUGCCUGAACUCCUGAGGCACUGAAUGUAAUUUUCUAACAACAUACAGUGUAUGAUUUAGGUCUUCCACAAAACACUGGGUUCAUAACACAACCAUUACAAACCUGACUUCUUGGUUUUUUUUCUGGCUGAUUUCAGAACAGUUAAUGUCAACCUGAGCAACUUUUUCUUUCUCACUUAUAAAUGGUUUUAGAAGUGCUCUGCAGGGCAGCAGCAACUGCCAGCUUUCCCAGUAUGCUCUGAAGCAUGCUCUUUACAAAAAUACAGUUUCCUGAGUCUGACUGCUUGUAAAUGUGAUGCUGCUGGUGUCCAGGAGAGUAGCUGCUGUUGAUGGUUUCUCUCCUGCCCUCUGAAAUCCUCCAGCAGUCAGUGUCAUGCAGCCAAGCAAUGGCUCCACUGGAACUCAAGCAGAAUUCUCCCAUUAAAUCGUCAGUGAGCAGCAAAGCUACACCCUUCAUGGUGCGGCAAUAAAAGUGUGCAGAAGGUUUCCCUGGAGGUCACUGUGGAAUUGACAUCCCCAUGGUUAAAGCUUGUUUAGAAGGAAAAAAAAUGAAGAGUCUGCCAUGAGAUCAGCUGAAAGAGAAAGCCAUCUCUGGUUUAUCUUACGGUAUAAGCUGAAAUAGAGUUGUGUUUAUGACAGACCAGGUCUGCAAAAUUCUAUGGGAUUUUUUUUGUCAUUGUGCCCAGAAGGCAAUGUUGUAAUUGCAAAUACAGUGUGCAAAUAAAAAUUCUUAC